rnacentral:lncRNA from 1 species
UAUAGCCUGUGGAAGAGCUUAACCAUCUGGCAGGGAAGACAGACAUGGGCAGAUAGGUGACAACUCAGAGAAAUAAGGGGAGCAAUGAAAACACACCCAAAGGCAACACAGAACGGGGAGUGAUUCAUUGUAUGUAAGGUGCCGAUGGAAAGACCUCCGGGUGUUAAAUGACUGACUGGACCAGGUGGGAAAACAGGGAAGAAGUUCAAACAGAAACCGGAGCAGAGGUCAGGUGCCUCUGGGAAGCCAACUUUUGUAUCCUGUGGUGCAGUCUGGGUCCUGAGCCUGUGAGCGUCCAGAGAUGGUGGUAGGAGCAGAGCCUCAGAGUCUGAGUGGUCUGAGUUUGGGCGACAGUGGAGUUGCAGUUUUUCCUUGGGGGGUGCAAUGGAGGCCGUGUAAAGCCCAGUCCAGGGCAGGCUGAGAGAAUCGUCAGCUUAGGAGGUCAUUGGCAUUUGGAGGGGUUAAGAACGCAGGUGUGGGGUGAUGGCCCAUGGUGUGGCGAAGAAGAGAGAAAUAAUACAACGAGAAGAGCAGAGUCCCCAGAGCCGGAAGCACUGACAUUCCAGGUGAGCGAGGUUAGUGAACAGAAGGGAGAAGGACGCUGUGUGAGGACCCCACCGCUUCACCCCCAAAGAGAGGACACAAGGCUGUGGAAUUCAGAUCUGGAGGAGCAGCUGGUCCACAGGCGGAGGCUUCAGAAAGGUCAAGGAGGCAGAUAAGACAGAGAAAUUCCCACA